UUAGCAAGCCCUAUUAAUUUUAUUUAUUUUUCCGCCGCCGCCAUCUCCAUUUCCAUCUUCGUCGGGGUUUUUUUUUCUUUUACUGUUUCUUCUUCAUUUUUCUCGAGCUCCGGCCACGCGCUCGUGUCAGUGAGUGUCGCGGUUUGGCGCCGUAAACGACGAGUCCGAGCAACCGAGGGGUUUGAUAAUCAUUCAAAGGCCGACAAUGGCGACUCAGCGAGAAGGGCAAGCGUCUCAGGAAACUACAGCUACUCCGCCGGCUAGCCUAGCGGAAUUGGUGCAGGAACGAUAUCGGAAAAUCAAGGAGCACGCUGAAACGUAUCCUUAUGUAUGGGGGUCUUACACGCUUGUUUAUGGCGGCUUGGCACUUUGGACUAUUUACAGAUGGAGGAAACUUCGUAAGACUGAGGAUCGAGUGCGAGCCCUUCAAGAAAGACUCCGGAAGCUUGUCGAAAAUGAAGAAGCAGCAAACUCUGGUACAUCUGUUAAAAAGGCUCCAACCUCUGAUGAUAAAGUUCCCAAGUAGUUAUACGUUAAAAGUUCAGUUUCCAUUUUUAUGUAGGAAAAAGAAAGUUCACAUUCAGUUUGGGAAUGCAUUAUUAAGGUUUUUGAUGAACUAGCUAGUAUUGAUGAAGAUAGUGUGUAUGAAUUUUGGGAGAAAAAAAUGAACAUUAAUUCUAUUCUUUACAUUAUUUUUCUUACAAUGUGGAUGUGAGACAUUCCUUUAUACUUUUUUAAAUAAUUGUAAUGGCUAAAUGUUUAUUAUAAGAUGCAUUGACACUUAAAGGUAGAAGGUAGAUGUGGCAUAAAUAUGAACUCUAUCAUGUAUCAAGGGCAUCCAUGAUUUCUGGCCAUGUUCAUGAUGUGCAACUUGAAAGCGCAUUGAAUAUGAUUUAUGAACUGCUGGCAUCUGAAGGAUGACCAGAUGAGUUCAUUAUCUCCAAUAUGUUGAGUGCUCUUGCAGAUUUAGCAUCAACAAGAUUGGUGAUUAGGUUCUUUGAUUUGCCAUUCAAAGUGGUCGUGGAUAGGUUUCAUGUAUGAUAAGUGGAGUGAGGUAGACUCUGCUGAUCUCACAUUUCAAGAGACUGUUCAGAUGUAGUUUCUUGGUAAGUGAUUAUCGUAGCUUCGCAUUACAUGGAUGUGCUAGGAUGCUUUGACCUAUUUGGGUUGAUGAAGGAACAUGGGGCAGUGCUUAAUUAUAUCUAUAUUAGAUUCACAGGAUUCUAUCGGUUAUUAGUUAUGGAGGGCUUGUGGAUGAAGGAUUACAGCGUGCCAACGGAGCCCUUCUAUCUUUUCCAAGUGCAUUUUUAUAUAUGAUAUAUGUGCAUCUGGAUGUGAGGUUUCUUGUAAUGGGUUGCAUUCCUAAAAUUUAAGAAAAAGUUGCAUCCACAGGUAUGGCUACCUAAUAUUUAAAAUGGAAAAUUUUCAGUAUUAGGACCAAAGUGAAAAGCUAAGCUGGGAGUUCAAUUUAGCUUUUAAAAAAUCUCUCAUAAUUUUAGGAGGAUGAUAUAUAGAUAAUAUGUACAUAUGUGCAUUUAUUUUGGAGUUUUAACUUCCUUGUUUUGCAAGGUGUUAUUGAACUGCUUUUAUCUAUCCCACAAGCAUUCUGUUUGACAAUCCAUUCUCCUUUACAAGCUUCUGUGCAAGUAGAUGAUUCAUUCUUCAUUUUCAUUCAUCAUAAGUAUGUGAUUUACCUUUUGAGUACUGCAGAUACUUUGAAAGCAUGAAAGAUUAUGAAGUUGAAACCAAUGUGGAGCAUUAUUCUCUGUUGUGUUGACCUCUUUGGGCAUGCUGGAAGGCUAGCAGCGGUAGAAAAUGUCAUCCUCACAUCCGGUAUUAGGGAUAUAAUCCAGUAAUGUGGUGAGUCUUGUUGAGUGCUUUUAAGGUUUGUAAAGGACACCAUAACUGUGAAACUUGCAAGGAAAAUAAUUGAAUUUGAACCCCAAGAAUGCAAAUAAGUGGCUUUCUAGUGUCAGCGAACAGAUGCAACAGUAAAGUGUUAAGAAGGAACCUGGUCUGAGUUGUAUUUAGGUUAGCUCUCAUCUUAAGAAUCAAUUAACCAAGCAAGGUUGAAAAGAUUUUGGAUAAAGAAGGAAAUUUAGGUAUGUUGCUGAGAAGCCUACUCCCAGAGCCAAAGGGAGCUCAGCGAUGAACUAUCACAGAUAAUUUACCAAUCACUUUCAGACUUACUAGAUCACCAAACCUACCUCCUGCUACGGUGAAUUUGAAAUCCUGCCCUGAUUAUCACAUGACAAUUGUAACUCUUGUCAAAGGUGGACAUGAGGGAAAUAAUUCCUGGAGAUCUAAUUACUGUUUUGUUGUUUACUAUAUGGUUCAUGUAGAGACUACUAGUAGGCGCAAGAUAUUAAGUUGUUGAAUUUCUUUCUUGAAGGAGUUUAGUUUUUAUGAUGAAUCUGGAAGAGUGAUGAUGCACUCAAUUGGAGAAGCAUUUAUAGGAAAUGAAAUAUGAAACUUGGAAGUUACCCAUUAGAAAUGUGAAAAACAGAUUAAGGAAAGCUGUUUGGAGUUGGACAGAAAACUCUGCAUAAGUGACAAGCCAACUGUCAAUGCAAAGCAAGUGCAAAUUCAGGUGUGCAUCAAAACUCAAAGAUUUGGUUUUCUUAUAGGGAGAUGCCUAUUUCUUAAGAAUGUAAUUGGUAGCUCUUGACUUUUUGGUGUCUGGCUGUAAUCAUAUCUAAGAAAGUUGCCUCCACAUAUGGGUUACCGGCACGAAAUUUAUGGUUCAAAACUAAACACUUGAAUUAAUUCUUGCCUUUCAUUUGGAUUAUGCCAUCCAUAAUGCACCUAUUAAAAACUAGGCAUUAAACAAAAAAAUUCCAUGGAAUAGGAUAAUGGUAGAAAAUACUGUUAUUGGUGUUUCUUAUAAACUAAUGCCCAAUUUACUGACUUGGUCAUGAUAUUUUCCCGUAUGUUAUUGCCGUUCCUUAUAAACUAAUGCCCAAUGUACUGACUUGGUCAUGAUAUUUUCCCGUAUGUUAUUGCCUUUGCUUUGUAUACCCCUCUUUUUACUCCAUAAUGCAUAAUUUUGCACAUAAUACACCUGAAACUUUGUGCAUGGCUGUGCUUGUUUGAUUGAGCAUGUGUUUGCGUGAGGACAUGCUUUUCACAGCAUACAUGCGAUCCAAUCUGUUUGACGAAGGAAUGGAUAAGUUUUAUGACUUUGAGCAUUCUAACAUAAUUGUUAAAUAAUGGAUCUUUUAUAAAGUUGAUCUGUUUCUACAUAUAGCAUUUCAGAGUCCUCUAUUUAAUUUAUUGCUCUGCCGUUCUGCUGAAUAGAAAGUUCUUUCCAUAACAAAUUGUUUUCAGAAACUCAUAACUUUUCAUUCUUGCUUUCAUUAGAAUGUUUUCACCUUAUGCCUUAUUAUUUUGUUAUGGUGAUAAACAGCGGUGGGUUGAAGAUGACCACUGAAUGAUAGGACAUCAGAUUACCAUCAAGAAUGAAAGGGUUGAUUUGUGGUCACUAUUACAGAUGAUUAACCUUUACUUAUUGACUUUGAUGUAAUUUCUGGAGAAUUUCCAGGAAAAUUGCCGAUGAACUAUGCUGGUUCUCAGUGGCGUGUGAUCAGCAUCCUCAGAUGGUAAUAAAAAGAAUCUGUCCUCGUCUAAAGUACAAAUUCAAGCACGCAUUAGUACAUUACAUACAUGGUGGGCAAUCUUUCCUUAGCUGUCCCUUUUAAAUUGCUUGCCAUAUACUCAUCCAUGAAAAACGCUACAAUUCGAAAUCCUCCUAAGGCUUUCUGUUAAAUUAGUAAGGUAUCCUUUAAAAUUGUCAUAUUUGAAAGGUUUCUCGAUUUAUCAGUUUUAUUGUGGCCCCACUUUAGAAUAUGCUCGUGAAAAAAAUAUGAGCUGUUCAGUUACAAUGUUACCACAUUAUGAUAUUUAACCAUAUAUGCUUGAGGCUGUCCAUCUAUAUAUGUAAUUUUUCCAGAGGGGCGUAGACACGCGGCAUUAAUACCUUCU